rnacentral:rRNA from 1 species
CCUACGGGAGGCAGCAGUGAGGAAUAUUGGUCAAUGGACGCGAGUCUGAACCAGCCAAGUAGCGUGAAUGAUGACUGCCCUACGGGUUGUAAACUUCUUUUAUAUGGGAAUAAAAUGUUCCACGUGUGCGUUUUUGUAUGUACCAUAUGAAUAAGGAUCGGCUAACUCCGUGCCAGCAGCCGCGGUAAUACGGAGGAUCCGAGCGUUAUCCGGAUUUAUUGGGUUUAAAGGGAGCGUAGGUGGGUUGUUAAGUCAGUUGUGAAAGUUUGCGGCUCAACCGUAAAAUUGCAGUUGAUACUGGCAGCCGUGAGUACAGUAGAGGUAGGCGGAAUUCGUGGUGUAGCGGUGAAAUGCUUAGAUAUCACGAAGAACUCCGAUUGCGAAGGCAGCUUACUAGACUGCCACUGACACUGAGGCUCGAAAGUGUGGGUAUCAAACAGGAUUGGAUACCCCUGUAGUC